rnacentral:rRNA from 1 species
AUUGAACGCUGGCGGUAUGCUUUACACAUGCAAGUCGAACGGUAACAGGUUAAGCUGACGAGUGGCGAACGGGUGAGUAAUACAUCGGAACAUGCCCAGUCGUGGGGGAUAACUAUCCGAAAGGAUAGCUAAUACCGCAUACGAUCCAAGGAUGAAAGCGGGGGACCGAAAGGCCUCGCGCGAUUGGAGUGGCCGAUGUCAGAUUAGGUAGUUGGUGGGGUAAAGGCUCACCAAGCCAAUGAUCUGUAGCUGGUCUGGGAGGACGACCAGCCACAAUGGAACUGAGACACGGACCAGACUCCGACGGGAGGCGGCAGUGGGGAAUUUUGGACAAUGUGCGCAAGCCUGAUCCAGCAAUCCCGCUGGCAGUAAGAUGGCCUUCGGUUUGUAAACUGCUUUGGUACGGAGCGAAAAGGUCUUUCCUAAUCCGAGAGGCUGAUGACGGUACCGUAAGAAUAAGCACCGGCUAACUACGUGCCAGCAGCCGCGGUAA